AUUGAACGCUGGCGGCAUGCUUUACACAUGCAAGUCGAACGGUAACAGGCCGCAAGGUGCUGACGAGUGGCGAACGGGUGCGUAAUGCAUCGGAACGUGCCCAGUCGUGGGGGAUAACUACUCGAAAGAGUAGCUAAUACCGCAUACGAUCUAUGGAUGAAAGCGGGGGACCGUAAGGCCUCGCGCGAUUGGAGCGGCCGAUGUCAGAUUAGGUAGUUGGUGGGGUAAAGGCUCACCAAGCCAACGAUCUGUAGCUGGUCUGAGAGGACGACCAGCCACACUGGGACUGAGACACGGCCCAGACUCCUACGGGAGGCAGCAGUGGGGAAUUUUGGACAAUGGGCGCAAGCCUGAUCCAGCAAUGCCGCGUGCAGGAAGAAGGCCUUCGGGUUGUAAACUGCCUUUGUACGGAACGAAACGGCUCUGGUUAAUACCCGGGGCUAAUGACGGUACCGUAAGAAUAAGCACCGGCUAACUACGUG
rnacentral:rRNA from 1 species